rnacentral:tRNA from 1 species
UGGGUUGUGGCUCAGUGGUAGAGCUCUUGCCUAGCACGUGUGAGGUCCUGGGUUCAAUCCUCAGCACCACAU